rnacentral:rRNA from 1 species
AACUUUCAGCAACGGAUCUCUUGGCUCUCGCAUCGAUGAAGAACGCAGCGAAAUGCGAUAAGUAAUGUGAAUUGCAGAAUUCAGUGAAUCAUCGAAUCUUUGAACGCACCUUGCACUCCUUGGUAUUCCGAGGAGUAUGCCUGUUUGAGUCUCA